rnacentral:rRNA from 1 species
CCUACGGGAGGCAGCAGUGGGGAAUAUUGGGCAAUGGGCGCAAGCCUGACCCAGCAACGCCGCGUGAAGGAAGAAGGCUUUCGGGUUGUAAACUUCUUUUAUGAGGGAAGAGCAGAGGACGGUACCUCUUGAAUAAGCCACGGCUAACUACGUGCGAGAAACCACGGUAAUGCGGAGGUGGCAACCGUUGUCCGGAUUUACUGGGGGUAAAGGGCGUGUAGCCGGGCUGACAAGUCAGAUGUGAAAUCCCGUGGCUCAACCACGGAACUGCAUUUGAAACUGUGGGUCUUGAGUAUCGGAGAGGCAGGCGGAAUUCCUAGUGUAGCGGUGAAAUGCGUAGAUAUUAGGAGGAACACCAGUGGCGAAGGCGGCCUGCUGGACGACAACUGACGGUGAGGCGCGAAAGCGUGGGGAGCAAACAGGAUUAGAUACCCUUGUAGUC